CCUUUCAGCGUCAACGCGCUGAAAGGUGGAACAAAGCAAUUUAUGGGUAGAUUAAGUUUUCCCCAUAAAAAAGAAUAUUCAGGCGCAGCGGCAGCUAAAGUGAGAGACUCAGUGUUCGGCGCUGCUUUAUUAAAGCAUUAAAGUCCGUUACCUGUCGUACAUGGAACAAAUUAUGUUCUGUUAGGAAUGCAUUAACCUUGAUGUACGCCACUAUUUGUGUGUGCGCGUGUGUGUGUGUGUGUGUGUGUGUGUGUGGUCUUUAGCGCUGAUUACACUUCCAUCUAACCACAGAAUGCAGUGUUCUUCUCAUUAGGACGGCCGCGUCUUUCUCACCUCUGUCUUCUUCACACUCAUCGGCGUCUUCCUGCGUCCCUUUUUUCGUUUGAACAAUUCUAUCACAUUUUUGAUCACUUUCUACUCUUUCUUUUCCACCGUGUUCACGGUCACACCCGUCACUCAUGGGGUUGUGUGUGUGUGUGUGUGUGUGUGUGUGUGUGUUGGGUUGUCUAGCCUCCACCAUUUGCUUUUUGUGACCUGGGUUCCAUACGGAGGUCGUUUCCUCAGUAGACGAUGUGAACACCAACGGAAACUUGAUUAACUGAAAGAAAAAAAAAAGACGUCCAAGAUGGCGCCGAAAAAAAAAAUCCUCCAACUGCAGUCGGAACAAAGACGUCACCUGUGUGGCUGCGCAGCACACGGAGGCUAAUAGGCCGUGAUUUAUUGAGGGGCAAAACCAGACCUCUGGCUCUGAGCCUGAUGUCACAGCACGUGCACGUGCACACUCUGUCACUCACGUGCACUCAGAGAGGCGUCAAGCUCCACUUGGUCCGGAUGGAAUCGGGAUUACACACACACACACACACACACACACACACACACACAGCCCGGCCCUUAACAACAAGAAGACAAUUAAUCUCCGAUUAGCCAGGCCAAGAGCGCCAGGUGUUCAAUUAGUUACCUGUGUGUGUGUGUGUGUGUGUGUGAGAAAGACCCUCAUUGGAAAUUGGGUUGAAACUGAUUCAUUGGCACAGCGAGGCGAAGCUGGGUGGCACCUGUGUGUGUGUGUGUUUGUGCGUUUGUGUGUGUGUGUGUGUGUGUGUGGAGCUUGUCGUGGAGACAGUGGGUGUUUUUUUUUAAGUCUGUGAAAGGUGGGGUGCAGCCAACUACAGCACCCUACCCAUGUUCCAUCAUCGCCUCAUGCACACGUACUAUACACACACACACACACACACACUCACACACACACCCUCCUCAGUUGGCUUCUUGUUUUUUUCGGGCAUGCAGCGGUUGAGGCUUGACAGGUAAGGGAGUUAAACGAGCUUCCUGCGAUGGCGCCGCCGGGAGAACAUGCAGAGCAGAGCGGUUCCACGUCCUGCUUUGUGGACAUUCGGUGCUUUCGUCGGCCGGACGUCUCUCUCUCUCUCUGCGCAUCGUGCUGCAGGUGAAGGCGGAUCUGGAGGGAGAGACACUGCAGCAGGUUUCUUAAGGUCUUCAGUGGCUCUCGCGUACAGCUGAGCUGUGCCAGGUUCAGAAGGACGAGUCGAAUCCCGGUGCAGAAAUCAGCUCCAGCUGUGGGACUUAAAGUGCAAAUCUGCAAAACCUAAAGAUGCACCAGGCAGAACUGAACUCAACCACAUUCCUGCACCCUGCGUCCCGCAUCAUGUGUCGCGCUGUUUCAGGCAAUCCAAGAGUCCAGUGUGAGAUCGACCGUCGGAUUUGACUUUGGCGAAAGUGUUGAGCUCUCCGGGGUUGAUGUUUUCUCGCCCGUGCAGGUCAUGUGACCACGGCAACCACCAGAGAACACAUUCAACUUAUUUUACUGACGCGUACAGGAACUUGAAUUCAUCACCAAACCAUUGCAAAGAAACAUAGAAAUACGAAAUCUCCGAUGUCGGGAGACGCUCUGAUGGGACAGUCCACUCGCUAACUAACCCUCCACCGGCUCCUAGAGCAGCAUGUUGAUUAUGUGUGUGUGUGUGUGUGUGUGUGUGUGUGUAGCCUGCAGGGGCAACCAACCACACCUCACUGUGCAACUCUGUGCAUAAAUUAACCUUGUAAACUUGUAAAUAAUUUGCUUGAUGAAUUAUUUAGGGGACAAGAACUGAUUCUCGUUGGCUCCUCAUUGGCUAAAAAUACAAACCGCCCGCAGCCGUUCUAGUUUCUGGUGCCUGGUUCAGUUUUUCCGUCGUGAGUUACGCGGUCAACAUUUCUUUUGGUGACAUUUAGGAGGUUUGCUAUCAGCUGCUGUUGGACCUCGAGUCCGACGCAGUGUGGACAGAAAGGACGCGACACGGCAAAGGAAAGUGGCGCUGACUCAAUGCUGAGUCAGCGGCGUGUGCGCAAAGUGGCGCUGGUGUUAUUUUGAAGGCGCGUUCAUGCCGCGUUUGCCGCUCUCGUUGCUUUUCCUUUAACCCUAAUCGAGUGUUUCCAUCUGUGAGAGCGUCUCACUUGAGGAGCGUCGGGGAGAGAAGAAGCUGCAGUUAUCACGGUGGUGUUUUCACGUCCGCUCAUCACUCUGCUUUCUCUACACAUUCUUCGUGUUGUGAAUGAGGCAACGUUGUUCAGCGUCUGCGAUAUGCAGAGCGGGUUACGCGCCCGCUGUGCGACGAGUACAAGAGGGCGCGAGAUGUUGUUCUUCUGGGAGCUCGACGCUGCUCAUGACCGACGGCACUUUUCGCACGCUGCAGGUCUUGACGUGCACGUGAUUCACAGAUGAAAAUCCCCCCACGGCAGCUGUGAAGCAGAGUGGGCGACAAUAUGAACCCACAAUCAGGGUGGUUGAGUCCGUCUGUCCUUUGUGUUUCCAAAGUACACACAGUCCCACACGGAGGGUGUUUGUUGUAUGUGUUGGAAGAGCUGAGGUGAACAGAAGUAGCAUCUCCCCCUCCUCCCCCUCCC
ensembl:lncRNA